ensembl:lncRNA
CUUUAUUCUCGAAAUGUUACGACUUUUAUUUUCGAAAUAUUGCGACUUUAUUCUUGAAAUAUUACAAAUAUUACGACUUUUAUCUCAAAAUAGCAUGCUCCUCAUAAUAUUACGACUUGAUUCUCGUAAUCUUGUAUUUUUAUUUUUUAAACAGUGGCCCUAAAUCUCCAUCGUACAAAUUUCCUCUUACACCACAGCAACUUGCCAAGAUGACAUUUUUAUGAAUGUAGUACUUCGUAUAGUGUAGCAUACAAUAUAUACAUCUUAUUGAAAGGAAUAUACGAUGUACUUGAUGCUCAGCUCUACAAAUGUCUCCAAAUAAGUAAAUAUCUUAGCUGGAGUAUAUUAAGAUGUACAAUACGAGAGACAUAAAAUUAUAAAAUCCCAACAUUUCUGUAACUAUGUAUCGCUUCAAUCCACUUCAGACGUUUUCUCAUUUCCGCUGUUGGCACGGAGACGAGUUGCUGACUUGUUCACCGAUACACACUGAGGUUUGGUUAAAUUAGUUUCGUUGCGUGUUUGGAUGUGCUUGUCAGAAGUAUUGGCACCUCUGCAUAUGUUCUCUGCGUUUAUAAUGAGAGCUGCAUAGCGCUUUUUCUUAUUUUAUUUUUAAAAAAUUAUAUAUAGAUCCAGUUAGGAAAGCUCGAUACUCAAUCUCAUCCUGGGGACGACUUCUCUUAACAUCACGUUGAUGUUGCUGCCAAAUUAACAACGUUCCCUAUUUUAAUGUUUGCAUUCCUGUUCUUCUCUCCCCUCUACAACAGUAUAAGCUUUGCUGGCUCAUCAAGCUCGAGUGAAUGGAGAGACACACACUGUCUGAACUGGUGCUGAGUAUCGUUUAAAAAAACAAUUAAGACUAACUUUUGUUUCAUUGAUGAUUGGUAUAAUAAUGCAGGGAGGAAAGUGGGGAUUUAGAUUUUUUUGUCAUAGAAUUGGAUUUGGCUACUCAUUUUUACAAAGAAUUACAAGAGUAUUUAUUUUUCUAAGACGUGUCUUAAUUUGUGUGAGGAGGGAAAAAAAAGGUUUUGCAACCGCAACCAACAACGUGUGUGGAUUUAGUUUGUAUUAUUAUUAUUAUUAUUAUUAUUAUUAUUAUUAUUACAACUUCACGUUAUUGUGUGUAUACGUGUGUGUUUUGUCAGUUUGCUCUGUUUCCGUGUAGUCUGAACAACCUCGGGUAAUUGUCAGGCUCAAGCUCAAGGCCCUGUUUUUGUAUGCCAAAUAAGGACAAUAAGUCCAUUUUCAUCGUCCCUCGUGAUGCUAUACUCUGCCCUGACAACGUCAUUGGAGUGUGCAGAGACACGAGGCAGUGUGUGUUCUGUCUGCGUUCAACGGAAACAGUCCUCCCAUUCAACCGUCUUCAUUUGAUCAGUAUUUAUCAGGAAGAUUUUCUUAAACUUUUUCAGGCAAUAAGACUCCCAAAAGCUUCCAGCUUUUGUUCUUUAUUUGGAUGGACUUGCACACACAGGUUUUGACCAACCCAAGCUUUCAGAGGUGUUGGAUCUACAAGUCAAAGCAAGAUCUCAAACCCCUGUUCACAAGUCGAUGGAAAAAAAACAAACAAAAAAAACAAUGCCAUGAUUCAUCCAGGAUGGAGUCUCUCCGGACGUCACAGGCUAAUUGAGGCUUUAAUACAUGAUUAUGCUUAUCAACAAACAAACCUUUAUUUAUUAUGGUGCUAAUGUAUCCAAACAGUACUCCAGCCAAAGUGUGUGUUCCUGUACUGUUGGAACGAUGGUGUGCAUGAAUUUGAGUUGUGUGUCCCCCACAACGAGAUACUGCAUUAAUGAAGCCCCGUCACAGCUGUCCCACACUACAACGUUCCACUUCCUGUCCCGUCAGUAACGUUUCGGGGCCGCAGGUGGGAUUCAUCAUCACAGUACUUUUGCUUGUACAGUAUUUAUUUGGCAUUCUCCUGUUUAUUUUAUUUUUUAUUUUUUUAUAUCUACUCAGUUUUACACAGAACGAAAGUCGUGUUGGUUCCUAGUUUGGACUUCUUCAAUAGUUUUGAUUCCUAAAUGUUUUUUUUUGUUGUUGUUGUUUUGUUUUCUUCUUUAUUUAAUUUUACUUCAAAUGUUUGUCACACUGUAAGAAGUUGUGAUGGAGUUUUUGAUAAGACAUUUUUCAGUUGUACAAUGUGGCCUGUACAUAUUAAAAGAUUUAUGAGUGAACUUGCCGUGCUUGUUGUUCCGGUAUGUUAUGAUGCUACCUGAGGUGUCUAAUUGUAAAUUACUUGUCAAGGUUUUUGAUCGAUAAACAAGUUGGACUCGAUACCAGCGGCCUCGACAGGGAUGCCUCGUCCACCGUCAAGUCCUUGUUACUAAUGUGUACACCAGAAAUAAUAAUACAUUUUUGUAUACAGUAUCUCUCAAAAGUCAGUACACCCCUCACAUUUUUGUAAAUAUUUGAUUAGAUCUUUUCAUGUGACAACCCUGAAGAAAUGACACUUUGCUACAAUGUAAAGUAGUGAGUGUACAGCUUGUGUAACAGUGUAAAUUUGCUGUCCCCUCAAAAUAACUCAACACACAGCCAUUAAUGUCUAAAUCACUGGCAACAAAAGUGAGUACACCCCUAAAUGAAAAUGUCCAAAUUGGGCCCAAUUAGCCAUUUUCCCUCCCCGGUGUCAUGUGACUUGUUAGUGUUACAAGGUCUCAAGUUUGAAUGAGGAGCAGGUGUGUUUAAAUUUGGUGUCAUCGCUCUCACACUCCCUCAUACUGGUUG